rnacentral:rRNA from 1 species
AGUGAACGCUGGCGGUAGGCCUAACACAUGCAAGUCGAACGGCAGCACAGUAAGAGCUUGCUCUUACGGGUGGCGAGUGGCGGACGGGUGAGGAAUACAUCGUAAUCUACUUUUUCGUGGUGGAUAACGUAGGGAAACUUACGCUAAUACCGCAUACGACCUACGGGUGAAAUCAGGGGAUCUUCGGACCUUGCGCGAUUGAUUGAGCCGUUGUCGGAUUAGCUGGUUGGCGGGGUAAAGGCCCACCAAGGCGACGAUCCGUAGCUGGUCUGAGAGGAUGAGCAGCCACACUAGAACUGGGCCGCGGCCCAGCCUCCUACGGGACGCGGCAGUGGGGAAUAUUAGACAAUGGGCUCAAGCCUACUCCAACCGUGCCGCGUGGGGUAAGAAGGCCCUCGGGUUGUGAAGCACUUCUGUUGGGAAAGAAAAGCAGCAGGUUAAUACCACGCUGUUCUGACGGUACCCAAAGAGUAAGCACCGGCUAACUUCGUG